GUUCAAACAGCACGAGGGUACCUCAGUCCCAGGAUUGUGGCAGCCACAUCAAGACCUGUCAUUUCAUGGCAAAUUCCAUGAAACACUUCUGGCUUUGGUUCAAAUUCCUUGCCUGGGAAUUGUCCCAAGUGCUCCUGCCCUGUACUGGAGUCAUACCUGCAGAUCAAACAGCUGCUUCUGAAGAAAAAUAAUAAGGCUUAAGUUUGAAGAAGUCCAUGGAGCAAAGGGCAGCAGCAGCACUGGAGCAGCAAAGCUGCCUUCCAUCCACGCCAGCACCCAACAAGGUCUUUGAGCUCCCCUGCAAGUUGCUGGUACCAGCACCAUGUGGCUGUGAGGUCCUUCGCUCCUCCCAUGCCUUCUG